ACCGGCCGGUCACAUGAGCACUUUCACUUUCCAAACGUCAUUUGAGGUGGGUUUCAGUGCAGGCGGGAGAUCUAUUUUAUCUUCGAAAAUAACAAUAGCAACAUGUUGUAGGCCUACAACUGAAAACUUUUUGAUUACGUCCAUCGUCCAAACUGGAAUGUAGGCUAUUUUCGUCUCGAUUGCUUUUGCGCGUCUAUCGUCUGAAUGAAUCAUUCCACCCUGGGCCUGUAUUGAAAUGUAAAUAGCCUACAAUCAUACUUUAAUUUAUGAAUCUAUACGUGCAACCCAAUUUUAGCCUGUUCAUUAAUUAUUAAACUGUUAAUAUAUUCAGUGACUUGGUAAAUAUUGGAUUUUUUUCAACAAAGAAAACUGAAUUGAAGAGGUGAACUACAGUUGCGAUCGGCGCCAAUGGACCCGUUGGCUUUUCUGACAGAUAAGCAGUUACUGCAGUUUUUACGCUGUAAUAGGACAGAGAUGUCGUGCAUGGUGCAACCACACACCUUUCUGAACCAGCUCCGUGACCACCACCUCAUUCCGGAGAACAUGUACAAGAAGUUGAUUUUGAUUAGGAGUAAGGAGCUGAGGGAGAAGGGUGUGUACCAGGUGUUGGACUGGGUGGAGGCAGAGAGGCCCGACAGCAUCAAGGUGUUCUGGAACUGUGUGUUCAGGGACCACCUCCUGCAGCAGUACCCAACGUUACGCCUGCUACGAAACCGCCUGCUGGAUGGGUCAUUCACAUUCUAUGAGAAACUGCCAGAGAAGGUGGAGAAGGAAGAGGAGGAGGAUAAGAAGAAGAAGGCUUCAGCGGAAGGAGAAGAGGAGGAGGAGAAGACAGGAAGGAAAAAGAGGAACCAGAAAAAGAGAAGUGCGAGUGCGGAGGAGGAGCAGCCCAGCACAUCCACCCAGUCCACCCCUAGUCAGAAGAGGAAAGUCCAGAGGCUCAAAUACUGUUCUCCUUUCAGGAAGGGGGAGAAAGCUGACAUCUGGACCUGGCCCAUCUACAAGAGCCAGCUCCCAGUCACCUGUGGGGACAAAGAAGGCAUGCUCAACAGGGACAAGCUGGCCAAAGGUAGGUCAUAACAAGGACUUUAUAUGAUGUGUUUGUGUGUAAUGAUGGAUGUGGUUUGGCUGAAUAACCUUGCCUGAGACCU
rnacentral:lncRNA from 1 species